GGAAACCGAAAACUCGGCGGCCGAGGCUCCGUGCCCCGCGCGCAGCGCUGCUCCUGCCCCGGCCAAGGACGCACGGGCCAGCCGGCGGAACCAGAGUUUAAUUAGGCAUAAAUAAAAAGCCACGUGAAGCCUGGAGAUACUGGACAUAGCAGAUUUGUCAAGCCAUUUUUCCCACCACCAGUGCCUGAGCACGACCUCAUUUGUCUUGGUCAAUGAAGCUCAAGGAAGCAUUGCACUUUGGCUUCCGCUUUAAGUUUUGUAUGUUGAUAUGUAUCCCAUGUCUUCUAACAAUAAAGUGCUAUUUCACUGACAUUAA
ensembl:lncRNA OSMR-DT OSMR divergent transcript